AAUGCUGGUGGAAACAUCUGUGGUUUACAGAAGAAUCAUUCAAUUUACUGCUGAGGCUGUGACUCUGAGGAACAUUUGAGUUCUUACCAGCAGUUACAGGGUAGAAGCUUCUAGUUACAGAUGGUGCCAUUGAAACAAAAGCUGUUCCUUCUUUAUCCCACUAUAUUUAGUGGGGAGGAUGAAGUACAGCGUAUCACCUGGAAAUGCUGCAAACUGAGUAGGAGGGAGCAGAUCCAUGACACAGAGAAGAAAAGAGAAGCUACAAAAGAAAAUAAUAUUUUUUGUAUUACAGUCAUUCUUUAUAAAUUAUUAUACUUAAUCUACUCU